GCGGUAGUGCUGGAAUUGGCAUACAGACUUGACUUAAAAUCAAGCGCCCUAUGGGAUUGCGGGUUCAAGUCCCGCCUGCCGCACCA
rnacentral:tRNA from 2 species